UCGUCAGUCUCCCCGACAGCAAUCAGCUUCUGGUUAAUCUCCACCAUGCGGUCCAGUUUCCUUUUGAAUUCUGGGUUCUCAACAUCGAGCACUGCUGGAAAAAUUCUGGCUGUAGUGCGAUUUGUCUGCGUAGGGAACCCAAAACGAUCAUUAGAAACAAUAAGGACAUCGGAUAACGGGAAUGGAUACGCAAGGGAAUUGUUAUUGCCAGUGCAGGCUGACCUCAAUGAUAACGUGCAUAUCAAAUUCUUUAGUGUUGAGGCCGAUGCCUUGGUAGAAAGCUGUUCGCUGGCAAUCGUUGAGGUACAUUGUCACAUACACCUGCAUGGGUAGAAGAUGCGUUAUUUGGGAACUGAGUAAUGGUGCGAUGCAUCCAUUGGUUGCUUACCGACAAGCAGAAGAAUCGGGACCAGAGUUUAGCCUUCCAGUCAUUGAGGAAUUGGGGUUGGGCCUUCAUGAGAGCAGAGAAGAAAUCGCCAUGGCGGUUCUCGUCCUGGCACCAGUUCUCGAAGUAGUUGAAAAUGGGGUAACACUGGUACUCGGGGUUCUCCUUGAGAUGCCGGUAGAUGGUAAUGUAUCUCCAGUACCCAAUCUUCUCGGACAAGUAAGUUGCAUAGAAGAUGAACUUUGGCUUGAAGAAUGUGUACUUCCUCGCCUUUGUCAGAAACCCCAAGUCCAAGGCCAAAUUGAAAUCCGACAGGCCCUUGUUCAAAAAACCAGCAUGCCGAGCUUCAUCCCGAGACAUGAGCGAGAAGAUCUCUGCCACCACUGGAUUUGUUUUCUGCAACAGAUUCAUUUCAUUUCUUGAUUAAUUCGAUGCUAUCACCAAAAGGCCUCGGCACAAAUCAAAACUCAAACCAUUCGAUAUGAGCUAUAUUUAAUUUUGGAAAGAAACACAAUCAACCAACCGACCAACCUUGAGCCUUCUUCCGAGCUCUUUGUACAGAAGGAAGCCGGAGAACUCAGCAGUGCACGACCUCUCCAAGAACUCGACAAAGAUCUGGCGGAGCGGGCCCUGCAGUUUGUCAGCAGCCUCCUUGAACUCCUUGUUCCUGACAAAGUGUGUCUGGUUGUAGUCUGUCUUGAACUCCUGCAGCAGCGCCUCGAACUCCGCCUCGUUCAAGUUCUUGUUGAUCUCCGUGUUGAACAGCGUCUCCAUCUCGUCAAAGUCCGUCGUGUAGAAUCUCGGCGCCAAAAGGGUCUCCUUUGGGGGUGUUUUCGGAGCCUUCUUGGGCGUCUUUUUGGCCGCUGCUGCCGCCGUCUCUGCCCUGGCCGACAUCCUCAGCAUCGAAGAAGCUC
rnacentral:lncRNA from 1 species